GUGAAUGAUGCAGAGUUUGUAUUUCUUUCUGAAUAAUUUGAAUUGAGGCCCUUGAGAUUUAUAACGCCAGAAGAGAAGAGCAACAGCAGAUGAAGGCCUCGUAACAGGAUGAUCAAAAUCUUUCAGAGGACCAGUGAAUAAAACCUUGCACUGAUAAUGGGGUUGGAAUCAGAAUUAAUCUUUCCAACCCCAUUAUAUAUAUAUUACAGCCCAAGAUUUGUUCUCUCCUUGGUUGAACCAUCGAUAUGCUGUUUGAUUCGUUACCUUGUCAAGAUCCUGAAUGUCUGUGGCUUGAGUUGAGAAUAAAAAUAAACCUGAGUUGCAAAUACAAGAUUGGGAAGUGAAUCUUUUCAUUUCCGGAAGGAGAUGUGGGGGGUGUUGUUUCUGGUCGACAGUUCAAUCAAGGUUGUCAAUUCUAUUUCGUUUCUUUUGGAAUGGCCGAAAUAUUUUAUACCAAUUAAAAAAAAAAAUUUCAUCUUAUUUUAAAUCUCGGUCUGUUCCUGAUUUUUCAGUUAAAUUUUAGUUGGAACGUUCCGGUUUCAUUCUACAUGUUUCGUUCCUCUCUUGAAAAGCCAUUGAAUCACAUUGAAUUUUAUUCAAUUUAAUUAAUUAAACCACUCAAGUAUAAAAAGCUCUUUUUUAUUAUUAUUUUCAUUAACAAUGAUUAAAAGGUCUUUGAAUAAGGCUGGGUUUCAAAAUAAACUUUGUAAAACUUGAAACCUAAACUCUAUUUGUCUUAAAAGAAAACAUAUUAUAAACUACAUUGAUUUAAUGUUAUAUAUAUAUAUAUAUAUAUAUAAAGUAUUGAAAUAAUAAUAUUUUAAAUAUAUUUAUUAAGAUCGGACCAGUUUGGCAGGUCUACAAGAAAAAAUAAAUUAUGGAAAUUUAUGAAUAUAAAAUUUAAAAAAAAAUUGAUGACAAGAGAAAAAAAAAUUAAAAAGAAAAAAAAACAUAUUAAAAUUUAUAGUGUUUUGUAAGUGCGCGAACAAUAUUUUCCAUGACUCUUUUAGGUUUCUUUUAAUUUAAUAAUAUUCAUAAGUUUUUAUAAUUGAGGUAACUCUGUAUAUGGCCAACGAAAGGUAAAACUAGUUUUGGUCAUAAAUUAAAGGGGGUAGAUUUGUUUAUUUAAAGUGAAGAAUUCUUAAUAAAAUUUGAAUCAGGACAUGAAUGUUGAUAAAUUGAGUAUUGUCGCACGCGUGCGGUGUCGCGGCGAAAUAUUCCACUUCAAUCUAAAUGUAUAUCUAAUGUAUCUGACAAAUAUGAGGAGAUAAGAAAUUCUUGUCGUUUAUCGGUGGAAAAUAGAAUGCGAGUCGCUACCUAAUAUUUUGGUCACUAGGAACCCUAACAUGUCUGAGAGAUCGGGUACGGGGACCGAUUGCGUAAAUGGAAGGUAUUAACACUCCAAAUACGUCUUACCUAAGGUAAGCUGCAUUGUUUGAUUUGUCUGAUAAAAAGCUAAGGUGUUAUUAUAAUUCCAGUUUUAGGUCUGUCUAUGGUUCAAGAAAAAUCCAGUAUUAAGCAAUUUUGAUAAUAAUAUGCAGGAAAAUCAAUAAAAUUUUUUUAAGGAUUUUUCAUAAUUUUGAAAACAAAACAUUUAUUUUAUUUUAUAUUUUUUUGAUGUCUUGACGAAAACCAAGUAUUUUUAAUACUGGAUGUGUAUCUUUACGGUAUAAAAAUACAAACCAAUAUUAAGCAAUUUUGAUAAAAAUAUGCAGGAAAAUCAACAAUUUUUUAAAGGAUUUUUCAAUUUUUUUAAAUUUUUUAUAUAUCUAUAUCUAUAUCUAUAUAUAAUAAUAUAAAAAUAGUAUAAUAUAUAAUAUUAGGUGGGUUGGGCAGGACUCAGCCCCAAAAGGGAUUGGGCCGAUCUCGGCCUAACAAAUCUCUCUUUUUAUGUCUGGGCCAGACCCGACCCAGACAUCUGGGCUUGGCCAGAACCAGCCUGGCCCAUAUAACAACUGGCUAGGCUAGAGAAGAAAACAAACAUCACCAUUGGGCUAGAAUCAGACUGGCCCAGCAACAAAACUGACGGGGGGAAUUAUCCCCCCAACCCUCCUGCAUGCAGAACGAUAUUCGUUCUACAUGCAGGAGGGAACACGACCAUCGAAAGAAAACAAUGAAGGGGAAGAAGGGUUACCUGGCGUGGAGGAGGCGGUGCUGUAUUGGUCAGACUGCUUCGCUGGCAUUGCCGUGGUGGAGGUCGGUGGCGGUGUCUUUGCUCACGGACGGCGGCUACAAGCAGUAAUGUUACUGUUUCAAGCGGCGGAGAAAGAGGCUCCUGAUCUUCCCUUCUCCUCUGUUCUCCUCCUUUUCUUCUGCUGCGUUUCCUUUUUUUUUUUUGUUCUAGUUUAGACGUGUUGUUUUCAAGUCCCAACCUCUUCCAGUGUCAGUAUCGUUUUUCCUUAACUCUUACGGUCCACUCUCCUUUACCUCUCACUGUCCCUCUCAGCCAGUUUUCUCUCCCUUUUGGUUUGUUUUCCUUUUCAUCUAACCCUCACAAUCCCUCUCCUUUUCGGUUUGUUUUUUUUCCUCUUUGGUUCAUUCUCUCCACUCUUCGGUUCGUUCUCUCCUCUCCUUUUUUCCUCCCCCGCGUGCUAGCGUUCAAUCUCCAUUUAUAAGGGCAAGGGAGCGAGGCCUCUUUAUUGUUGUGCAUGGGGAGCAGGGCAGCGCUGGGUUGGUUGGUUGGCAAGGCGCGACGCCCCUGAUUUCUCAUCAUUAAGGUGUGUGGGGUUUCAGGUCUUUUGCAGGGCAAGCGGCUCGAAGGAAUUAAAGAAGAAGAAAACUGCCUACCUUCCCCUGCUGCACGUCCGGGGGAAGGAGAAAGAAGAACAGUGUCGCUCAAAACGACAAUGUUCUGCUCUCUGUUUGUUUUUUGUGGGGACCAAAAAAUGGGUUACAACAAGUAUUAUGGUGGUCAAAGUUGUUGUGAGAGAUAGAAUUGUAUUAAGAUUGGAGGGGAGGUUGGUUGUUUGUUGUAGAAAAAAAAUACAUAAGAAAGAAGGAAAAAUAGAGGAGACGAAGAGGAGGUCGAUUGUUAGGUCAUAAAUUAAAUAUUAUCGAUGGUAUGACCAAUAAAAUUAUUUCGCCGGUAACAACAUCGGUCAUUUUAUCUGUAAAAAUAUCACAUGACCAUACAAUUUGUUUUUUUUAAUCCCACUGUAGUAUUCUCUAUAAUUCUCACGGUAUUUACCGAGAAAUUUUUUUUGUAAAUAUAUUUACAGAUGUAUUUUACUGUUCAGUUAAUUACAUCGGUAGUUGUCUCUAAAAGUCAUACAUUAUCAUACUAUUUGACUUUUUUAUUUUCCUUCUACAAAUCCAUUGGUAUAUACAAAAAUAAUUUUUUUGUUAGUGUUUACCAAUGAAUACAGUAAUCGAAAAUUACGUUAGUAAAGGUCAUUAUAAUAUACCGAGGGAAUGACCUGGAAAUCAAGGGAAUUACUUAGUCGUUAAUUUUAGGGUCUCGAGGGUUAGUUGAGGUAUGCAUAAGUUGACUCGGACAUCCACGAUUAAAAAAAGAAAAAGAAAAAAAAAGGGAGGUUCCAUCAUUUGCUGCAAGAAAAAAGGUCCGUCCAUGUAAUCUACUUUAACCGGAAAUAUUCCCAUAAGAAAGGAAUUAAUGAAAUUAUAGACCUAACAAACUAACUACAGAUAGAGUAUUGUCAUCCAGCUUUCAAUUAAUUAAAAUACCAAGACAGCUCAAUAAUCUAUAUGCCGAAGAAAUACCGACUUUUUCUUUCAAUAUAAUUUGUUGAAUAACUUGGAAAUCAGGAAACUGUAAAAAAAAAUAAAAAAAAAAUCCUUUCUUGAGUUGGAUUAGAAAUACAAACCUACACCAUUACGUGGAAAAGUCUUCCUGUUAUGAAACGGAUUAAAAAAAACUAGUAAAUUAAGUCCAGACAGUACAAGGAUUUGCAUGUACAUUGCCCUGUUAUAUACAAAAAUCUAUUUAAUAAAGUCCGGAUAGUGCAUGGAUUCGCAUGCACAUUGCCCUAUAUAUACAUGCAGUGCGCAGCCAGCCAGAUAUAGCACCCCCAACAUAUUCAGUUCUUUGAUUUGCUUGUUUUGAGUUGUCCCUGGGUGAUUUGUUUCUUCGAGUUAGAGAUUUAGCAAAUAUAUCCCUAAAGAUAUGGCACGGCUGUGCGGUUGCGGUCAAAGUGAUCAUCAUAUGUUCAUUGCUGAUAUGAAUAUUGAUGAAUAUGACGAUGGGUCUUUUGAUCAACUGUUUCAAAAGUAUAGACAAGAAACAGAUGACAAUGAUGAGGCAUUUACGUUGAUGGAGGAGGAAAUUGUCAAGGGUUUGUUGUGGAUGAGGAACAAUGGUGCCAAGAGAGAGUCUUCCAAGUCCAGAAGUACAAGCCCCUCUAGUGAUGGUUGUAGCUAUGCUCAAUUUGCACACCCACUUGUGAUAUUGCCUGUUACACCCAAGAAGAAGAGAAGUGGAGAUCAAGGGUUUAUAUAUCCCAAGAAAAGCCCAAGUAGUUAUGAUAACAGUCAAGAUGACGACGACGAUCAUCAUCAUAUUCUUGAGGAUGAGGAGGGUAGGAAAGAGAGAGGAUCUGGAAUUCUUGAUGGGUUUGUCAAGAAAAACAAGUACUCUAAGACUAAUGUUGCUGAUGAAGUUAAGAAAGAGGGGAGACAGAAAGAGAAAAGGAUCAAUCGUACUAAUAGAAAACGACACUUUGCACUUGAAGAUAUUGACGAGGAGGAGGGAAUGAGGUCGACAAGCAAACGAAGGAAGGGUGAUUCAAGGGCACUGGACUUGGGUUUUGAUUUCUCUGAUGAAAUAAAAGCUCUGAUCGGAGAAGAUGGAGAUAAAGAUUUCAAGCUAAGGAUAAGGAAAAAGUUGUACCAAACCGAUACGAGCGCACACCAUGAUCGUUUCACAAUGCCUUGUAGACAAAUUAAUGAAUGCGAAAGUCUUUUAACUGGCGGUGAGAAGACGAAUAUCUGUCAAGGCGAUGGCAUAGGAGUAACAUUGGUAGAACUGGGGCUUGGUGAUGUAAAGGAUAGCACGUUCACCAGUCAACUAAGGCUGAAGCAGUGGAACAUGAAGAACAGCAGUUCAUAUGCGCUAAGAAGUAGCUGGAAUCACGUUAUGGUUAGGAAUGUGGGAGCGCUCCAUCAAGAUGACUAUGUGCAGAUGUAUUCCUUUAGGCGCAACGGGGAACUCUGGUUCGUCCUCGUCAAAGAGUCUGAUCAUGAAGAAGGCCGCACAGAUGGUGUCUUUGGAAGGACUAGUAGUGCUCAAGGGGAAUGAUGGAAAAGGUCCUGCUACAGUUUUGCUAGCCAAGAGAAGGAGAAUGGAGACGGUGCUAGCAAGUACAAGCCAUGCUUAGAUAGAUAUAUAGAGAAGAGCAACCUUAAGCUUAAUGUUUAAUUACAGUCAUUCAUGUCUUCUUUGAGUAAUGGGCGACGAAUUUGCUUUUAAUAAAUAUAGUUUUUUCAGAACAAUUUAUUAAUUAGUUCUUUAUAUAUAUAUAUAUAUAUAUAUGUUUCUAGUAAUUUCAUACAGAAUCAAAUUCAUUUAUUUAGCCAAAAAAGUCUCAUGGAUCAUGAGCUCAUGGUCUUGUUAUACAUUGAGCCCAUGUAUUAGCUCGUUGGCCCAUAUUGGCCUACUAUUAAAAACACGAGCUGAAAUUCUUCUCUCCCUCUGGAUUCAUAUCAUGGCAGAACAAGAAGAAGAAGAUUCAAAAAAAAGAAGAAGAAGAUUCAAAAGUCAAUCCUCCUCCUCCUCCUGUACUCUCUUUCUCUUUCUUUCUGAUACAGUCUUGUUGUGUUUGUUAAAUUGCCAGGUUAUCCUUUGGCUUUACUCAGUGCUAUGUUUUUUUUUUGGCUUGUUAUUAUUUAAGAAAUAGUGUUGAGCUAAUUCACUUUAUAAGCAAAUAGAACACCAUUCUCAAUGAAAUUGAAAGAAAACCAUUAAUCUCAAUUUUAAAUUUGAAUUUUUAUUGCAUUUAAUUUAACAAAACCUAUAUGGGAUUUGUUGAAUUAUGAACCUUUUUUUUUUGUCAAUGCAUGGAUAAGAAUUGGAGCCCCUUUACAUUUAUUCGGAGAUGAACUAUGGUUUCAUUCAUUUUAUUUAUUAUUAAUAGUGUUUUUAUUCUUCUUUUUCUCAAUAAAACUCAUUAAUUAAUAUUUGACAAUUUGCUGUAACCAAUAGUUUUUGGAGGUCAUAUGCAAAAGUUUGGGAAAGACGAGUCGCUUUGCAGCAGGCACCAAGGCGGGAUUUGCAGUGUCUUUGAUAAACAGGAAGUUGGAUGUCGGGGCACCUUUUGUUUUGCAUAUUGAAGCCGUUAAGGAUGGGGAGGAACCGAUUAGCUUUGGACCAGAUGCGGUGCUUGUUGAUUAUGGCAAUGGCUGGAAGUUGCAAACAUUUACUGUGUUAGAUUAUGGUGGUAUUAGCUUCUUUUAGUGUAGAUUAUCUUGUUGUCUUCUCUUGUGGUUGCUGUGUAGAUUUUGCUUAAGUGUUGGUUUUGCUAACAUGAUUUCUUUUCUGAAGUAGGUGUUAGACAAGCAGAACACUUUCAGCAGAUUCCAAAACAGGUAUGGAUUUCUACAUUGUCUUCAUUAAAUUUUGUUUUCUAUCGUAUCCAUUAAGUAGAAGUUGCUGUAUAUACAUAUAUUGUUUGAUAAAGAAACUUGGAUGUAUUUACAAUAUCGCUAUAUAGGGUACAGGGAUAGUCUUCUUUCAACUCAUAAUCCAUUGCAAAACUUGAAAAACUACGUCUCAAUGAGUUCUAUUGAGUUUUUUUUGUUUGAGUCAAUAUUUAUUUCGAUACCAUGGAGUAGAUGAACUUGAUUUUCUGAAUUCCUAAAUCUGUUGCUAAUGAAUGAGAUAUGGAAGAUAGUAGUAGAAACUAGGCUGUAUUUUUGGGUAAAACCAAAUAUAGGAACCUGACUUUAGCUUUUCUUUCAAAUAUGUUUACCAGAAGAGGUCAAGAUGAAUGAUUGCAUUUCAGAUUUCAAUGAAUUUAUAUUAUAUAAGAUUAUUUUAAUUAAAAGUAGGAUUGAAGGCUGUAAUAUUGGCUUGGUUAAAAAAUGUGACAAAAGACAAUAGUCCGUGUAUGUUGAUGAGACCUUUUUAUUUUCGAAUAACUAUGAUUUGAUCUGUAGUCAUAGUUGCUGCCUUACUAUAUAAAGCCAUACCAAUAUAUAGAGAGACUGGUAGGUUUCAAUCCACAAGUUCAUUCUGUUCUGCAUACCAUAUGGCACCAUUUUGUUGAUCUCUCUUGACCCAUACCAGCCUUCUCCAGUCAUAAUGGAUGACCUAAUAUCAGAUUGAUUAAGAAAAGAAACAGGCAAGAUUCCUGUGCAACAGUGUGAGAAAUCAUGUAAUGUGGUGCUUAGAGCACAAAUUAUUGGUUGUGAGAAAUCAUUAGGGUGACACCCCUUUGCCUGUUAUUUGCCAAUCUUGUACGGCUGUAUACUAGUUGUGUACCAGUAUAUUUGUGAUAAUUAUUUGGCUUCGUUGGUAAAUACAUUUUUUGUUGGUAAAUACAUAUUCUUGGGCCUAUAUUAGCAUAUGUAUCAUGUCAUAAAUCUAUAUAAAAUGAACUGGUAGCUGGACAUCCAUUCCAAUAUUGUAUUCACAAACUUGCCUUAAUUAGAAAGUUAUUCAUUAGAAGAAUACUAAACUCUGUUCUUGAUGAAUAUGAGGUUAAAGGCCUAAUCUGAUAAUGAUCUAUUUAUGAACCGAGUAUAAUGCUGCUUAGUGCCAUAAUUUUUCCUCUGUGAGAGACUUUGGCUAAAUGAUCUAAAAUCUUCUUUUACUUUCAGCAGAGUUCUGAUGGUUCACGUCCUGCAAAGACAGCUACCAACCCAGGCAUCAGUUUUUUGUACAUGGCAAAGAUACUUGUAGCCUUCGUUUUGCUUUUUGUGCUUGGAGCAAGUUUUACAUUAGCUCUUGAGAAUCUUCCUAGACUCAUAUUGUUCAUCAACUCGUUCAUGUAAAUACUUGCUGGCAUCUUCUAGUGAUGCAUGGAGUGAAUGACGCUGAGUUUGUAUUUCUUUCUGAAUAAUUUGAAUUGAGGCCCUUGAGAGUUAUAACGCCAGAAGAGAAGAGCAACAGCAGAUGAAGGCCUUGGUUGAACCAUCGAUAUGCUGUUUGAUUCGUUACCUUGUCAAGAUCCUGAAUGUCUGGGGCUUGAGUUGAAAAUAAAAAUAAACCUGAGUUGCAAAUACAAGAUUGGGAAGUGAAUCUUUUCAUUUCCGGAAGGAGAUGUGGGGGGUGUUGUUUCUGGUCGACAGUUCAAUCAAGGUUG
rnacentral:lncRNA from 1 species